rnacentral:rRNA from 1 species
UACGUAGGGUGCGAGCGUUAAUCGGAAUUACUGGGCGUAAAGCGUGCGCAGGCGGUUUUGUAAGCCAGAUGUGAAAUCCCCGGGCUUAACCUGGGAAUGGCAUUUGGGACUGCAAGGCUGGAGUGCGGCAGAGGAGACUGGAAUUCCUGGUGUAGCAGUGAAAUGCGUAGAGAUGCGGAGGAACACCGAUGGCGAAGGCAGCCCCCUGGGCUAACACUGACGCUCAGGCACGAAAGCGUGGGGAGCAAACAGG